GUGGGAGCGAGCUUGCUCGCGAAGGCAAUCUGUCAGCCAGCACAGAUGUUGAAUGUGCUGGCCAAUUCGCGAGCAAGCUCGCUCCCAC
rnacentral:antisense_RNA from 1 species